ACCGCAACCUUUUUAGGGAGCGGAUAAUGGUCCUAAUCAUACUUCCUAGAAAAACCUCUAAGCUUCAGGUUUGAGCUGCCCGUACCGUAAACCGACACAGGUAGUCGAGGAGAGUAUCCUAAGGCGCUCGAGUGAUUCAUGGCUAAGGAACUCGGCAAAAUAGACCCGUAACUUCGGGAGAAGGGUCGCCCCGCGUAAGCGGGGCCGCAGUUAAAAGGCUCAGGCGACUGUUUAACAAAAACAUAGGGCUCUGCUAAAUCGAAAGAUGAUGUAUAGGGCCUGACACCUGCCCGGUGCUGGAAGGUUAAGGAAGUUUGUUAGUGGAGUAAUCUGCGAAGCUUGCGACUGAAGCCCCAGUAAACGGCGGCCGUAACUAUAACGGUCCUAAGGUAGCGAAAUUCCUUGUCGGGUAAGUUCCGACCUGCACGAAUGGUGUAACGAUCUGAGCACUGUCUCGGCCAUGAGCUCGGUGAAAUUGUAGCCCCGGUGAAGAUGCCGGGUACCCGCAACGGGACGGAAAGACCCCGUGAACCUUCACUACAACUUUGCAUUGAAUUUGAGUAAAUGAUGUGUAGCAUAGGUGGGAGACUAUGAAGCGGGCACGCUAGUGUUCGUGGAGUCGUCGUUGAAAUACCACCCUUUAUUUGCUUAGAUUCUAAUCCCGAUGAGGGAAACAGUGCAUGGUGGGUAGUUUGACUGGGGUGGUCGCCUCCAAAAGUGUAACGGAGGCUUCCAAAGGUACCCUCAGCACGGUUGGUAGUCGUGCGUAGAGUGCAAUAGCAUAAGGGUGCUUGACUGUAAGACCGACGGGUCGAGCAGGGACGAAAGUCGGGUAUAGUGAUCCGGUGGUUCCGUAUGGAAGGGCCAUCGCUCAUAGGAUAAAAGGUACUCCGGGGAUAACAGGCUGAUCUCCCCCAAGAGCUCACAUCGACGGGGAGGUUUGGCACCUCGAUGUCGGCUCGUCACAUCCUGGGGCUGGAGAAGGUCCCAAGGGUUGGGCUGUUCGCCCAUUAAAGUGGCACGCGAGCUGGGUUCAGAACGUCGCAAGACAGUUCGGUCCCUAUCUGUUGUGGGCGUUUGAGAUUUGAGGAGAUCUGACUCUAGUACGAGAGGACCGGGUCGGACUGACCUCUAGUGUACCUGUUAUGGCGCCAGCUGUAUCGCAGGGUAGCUAUGUCGGGAAGGGAUAAGCGCUGAAAGCAUCUAAGCACGAAACCCACUCCAAGAUUAGAUCUCGUA
rnacentral:rRNA from 1 species